AAUCAUCAACCUCACCGUGGGGCUUGGACUUUGGAGCGUGCUGGCCUGAGGUCGGCUCCUCUUUAAAUGCAUCAGCGGAAAGCCAUUGAUGUUUCCCGUCAGCGUGAUAAUCCUGUUGCGCUACUAGGUCACAUCGGGGGUCCGCUUAUAAUGGUCUUCGGACAAUAUCUA
rnacentral:misc_RNA from 1 species